AGAGUUUGAUCAUGGCUCAGAUUGAACGCUGGCGGCAUGCUUAAUACAUGCAAGUCGAACGGUAACAGGUCCUUCGGGAUGCUGACGAGUGGCGGACGGGUGAGUAAUGCAUAGGAAUCUGCCCAGUAGUAGGGGACAACCUGAGGAAACUCAGGCUAAUACCGUAUAAGUCCUACGGGAGAAAGGGGGCCUCUUCUUGAAAGCUCUCGCUAUUGGAUGAGCCUAUGUCGGAUUAGCUUGUUGGUGGGGUAACGGCCUACCAAGGCGACGAUCCGUAGCUGGUCUGAGAGGACGAUCAGCCACACUGGGACUGAGACACGGCCCAGACUCCUACGGGAGGCAGCAGUAGGGAAUAUUGGACAAUGGGCGAAAGCCUGAUCCAGCAAUGCCGCGUGUGUGAAGAAGGCCUGCGGGUUGUAAAGCACUUUCAGUUGGGAAGAAAAUCUUUAGGUUAAUAUCCUAAAGUCUUGACGUUACCAACAGAAGAAGCACCGGCUAACUCUGUGCCAGCAGCCGCGGUAAUACAGAGGGUGCGAGCGUUAAUCGGAAUUACUGGGCGUAAAGCGUGCGUAGGUGGUUAAGUCAGUCGGAUGUGAAAGCCCAAGGCUUAACCUUGGAACGGCAUUCGAUACUGCCUAGCUAGAGUACAGUAGAGGGAAGC
rnacentral:rRNA from 1 species